rnacentral:rRNA from 1 species
UACGAAGGGGGCUAGCGUUGCUCGGAAUCACUGGGCGUAAAGCGUACGCAGGCGGACCUGCAAGUCGGGAGUGAAAGCCCGGGGCUCAACCCCGGAAUUGCUUCCGAAACUGCCGGUCUUGAAUACGGGAGAGGUGCGUGGAAUUCCUGGUGUAGAGGUGAAAUUCGUAGAUAUCAGGAGGAACACCGGUGGCGAAAAGCGGCGCACUGGCCCGAUAUUGACCGCUCAUGUACGAAAGCGUGGGGAGCAAACGAGGAUAGAA